rnacentral:rRNA from 1 species
AAUAUUUCACAAUGGGCGCAAGCCUGAUGCAGCAACGCCGCGUGAGGGAUGAAUGCCUUCGGGUUGUCAACCUCUUUUAGUAGGGAAGAAGCGAAAGCGACGGUACCUGCAGAAAAAGCACCGGCUAACUAUGUGCCAGCAGCCGCGGUAAAUCGUAGUGUGCAAGCGUUUUCCGGAAUUAUUGGGCGUAAAGCGCUCGUAGGCGGCUGGUCGCGUCUGCUGUAAAAACCCGAGGCUCAACCUCGGGCUUGCAGUGGGUACGGGCAGGCUAGAGUGCGGUAGGGGAGAUUGGAAUUCCUGGUGUAGCGGUGGAAGGCGCAGAUAUCAGGAGGAACACCGAUGGCGAAGGCAGAUCUCUGGGCCGCUACUGACGCUGAGGAGCGAAAGCAUGGGGAGCGAAC